rnacentral:miRNA from 1 species
GGGUGUGUGUGUGUGUAUGUGUUCUCACAUGCAUGUGCAUGCACAUGCUCACAGGUGCACGCCUG